AGAGUUUGAUCAUGGCUCAGAAUCAACGCUGGCGGCGCGCUUAACACAUGCAAGUCGCACGAGAAAGGGAGCAAUCCUGAGUAUAGUGGCGCACGGGUGAGUAACACGUGGAUGAUCUACCUCCUUGUGGGGAAUAACCCUGGGAAACCGGGGCUAAUACCGCAUACGUUCGAGAGAAGAAAGCCGAAAGGCGCAGGGAGAGGAGUCCGCGGUCGAUUAGCUAGUUGGCAGGGUAAUGGCCUACCAAGGCGACGAUCGAUAGCCGGCCUGAGAGGGCACACGGCCACACUGGCACUGAAACACGGGCCAGACUCCUACGGGAGGCAGCAGUGGGGAAUCUUGCACAAUGGGGGAAACCCUGAUGCAGCGACGCCGCGUGAACGAUGAAGCCCUUCGGGGUGUAAAGUUCUUUCGACGGGGACGAUAAUGACGGUACCCGGAGAAGAAGCUGCGGCUAACUACGUGCCAGCAGCCGCGGUAAUACGUAGGCAGCAAGCGUUGUUCGGAAUUACUGGGCGUAAAGAGUGCGUAGGCGGUUAACUAAGUUUGGUGUGAAAUCUCCCGGCUUAACUGGGAGGGUGCGCCGAAAACUGGCUAGCUAGAGUGUGGGAGAGGAUAGUGGAAUUCCUGGUGUAGCGGUGAAAUGCGUAGAUAUCAGGAGGAACACCUGCGGUGUAGACGGCUAUCUGGACCAUGACUGACGCUGAGGCACGAAAGCGUGGGUAGCAAACAGGAUUAGAUACCCCAGUAGUCC
rnacentral:rRNA from 1 species